GUCCCUAUAGUGCAAUGGAUAGCGCGUUGGACUUCUAAUCCAAAGGGUUCGAAUCCCAAUUGGGAUA